rnacentral:tRNA from 1 species
UCCUCGUUAGUAUAGCGGUCAGUACACCUGCUUGACGCGCGGGAGACCGGGGUUCGAUUCCCCGACGGGGAG